UAAUAUUUAUUGAGUGCUUACUAUAUGCCAGGUCCUGUGCCAUGUUGGAUUAGUUAGGAUGUAAUAGGUUAUGCCAUGAUGUGAUAAAAACAAAUCCCAGAUCCCAGUGCCUUAAAUAAAAAUUUAUUUCUCAUUCAUGUUUCACAGGUUGGCUGUAACUCUGCUUUGGUGAUAUAUCCAUCUUCAUCCCAAGACCCAGGCUGACCGAGUUGUCAAUAUUUGCAACAUUGCCAGUUGCCCUGUCAGGUGUGGAAUAAGAGAUAAAGAAGCCGAGCCACAGACAGGUUCAGCAACAUGCCCAAAGUCACAUAGCUCUUAGGGGUACAGCUGAGAUGCCUGGCUUUAAGCCUGGGUGCUCUAGCUCCAUAACCCAUGCUCUUUAAAACCAAUAAAGGGGAAAAAAUCCUA